GUUAUUGAAGAGCUUCUGGAUGAAUUGCAUGGGGCAGCGUGGUUUUACAAGCUCGAUUUGCGUGCGGGGUAUCAUCAAAUCAGACUCGCGCCAGGGGAGGAGUACAAGACAGUCUUCUUAACUCAUCAGGGCCAUUUUGAGUUCAAGGUUUUGUCUUUUCGGCUAGCCAGGGCCCCAUCUAAAUUCAUCGAAGGGCUAAUGGCUACUCUCAAGACAGUUAUACGAGUCUGUGUGUUAUGCUUCUUCGAUGACAUUUUAAUCUUCAGCGCCACCUUAGAGGAACACAAAUGCCAUGUGAGGCAAGUUCUGGAACUGCUUCGCAAAGACCAAUGGAAGGUGAAGCUCAGCAAAUGUGCUUUCGGGCAA
rnacentral:rRNA from 1 species